AAUAAGAUCAUUUUUUAGUUUUUUUGAUACGUUUUGACUCUUCAUCUUAUUUGAAAUUUUUUACGAUUAAUAUGUUUAUUCUUACUAGAUGAUAAAACAUGAAUAUUAUUUUAUGCGUGACUAAUUUUUUAAAGUUUUUUAACAAAUUUUUCAAAUAAGACGAAUGGUCAAAGGUUAAACACGGAAAAAC
rnacentral:pre_miRNA from 1 species